AGACCCUUCACCCCCUUCUGAGAGGAGAAGUCGGUGCUCAGACAAUUGACAGAGAUGAAGAUCUGUGGAGAGAAGAGAGAGGUACAACUAAAGAAGAAGAAGUGAACAAUGUAUGUAUUCAUACAGAAGCUGAACGGGCUAGAAGAUGUUUGUGGAUGGGACCGGUGAGGUGACUUCAGUGAAGUUUCUCUGAUCAUUGCGUGGUCUGACCUUAUAAUGUCCACUCUUGGGAGGAUUGGCAACUUUAUGCACUUACAUGGAUGUAUAAUCUGUGAAUAAUUAAUGAUGAGUCAACAGCUGAGUCUCCAAGAUUAUUGCUGAUGUCUUUCCUGUUUGGCAUUGUGUUAACACACACCUUAAUGCUCCAAAUAAGCAAACUGCACAAAGCUCUUCUUUCAUAGAAAUGCUCACACUGUUUUAUUGUUUUCUGCAGUCUAAAUCUGCAGUAUCUUAUUAUUAACAUCAUCUAAUGCUCAAGAAAAGAGUUAGAAGCAUGUCUUAGAAUUGAAGGAAAUUUACUUAGGAGUCUUGGACUCUCACUCACUCGCAAGACUUGUUUCUGUUUUUCACAGCAACCUGUCCAAAAUCUCAUUUAAUUGCUGGAUUUCCUUGUAAGAUAAAACUCUCCAGUCUGGUUUCCUUCAGGCUGUUCUCCAGAAGCGAGCAGUUAGCCAUCAUUCACCAGCACAGUGCCGAGUGAAUAAUCAAUAUAUA